GGCAAGUGAAGGCAACGGUCGCUGUGCGCUUUCUUCAUUUCUUCUCACUUCUGUUUCUCUCUAUUUAAGGACAGUGAAGGACUAGCAAAAAAUGUGGGAUGAAUGCGACGGGGGACAUGGACUGGACUACAGCCACUGUACAUGGGCUACCUUUGCCACCAGCUGAGCCAAAGCAGCAUGCUUAAGACCAGCUUGUUCCUGGGAAAUGUAGAUCACAGAAUGCUCAUCGAUUGCUCAGAUCUCCCUUGAAAUUAAAAUCCGACCAGGAGCUCCUCUGGUGAUCGAUCAUCUUACACAACAGCGGCUGGACAGCUGUGGGCGGACACACGAGGAUUUAGAGUUUAUGUUAUUGGUAAAGUCCACAAAGUCCCACUUUGAUCAGAGGUGCAGUGACAUCUGUCCCAUAUGGUUGUCAGCCACGGGAUGCAUAUUGUGGAAUACAAGGAUGCAAACAUUAUGUUAUCUUUCAUUAUCUGCGUC